GUACGUAGGGGGCGAGCGUUGUCCGGAAUUACUGGGCGUAAAGGGCGUGUAGGCGGCCAAGCAAGUCAAGUGUGAAAAGCCCCGGCUUAACCGAGGCAUUGCACAUGAAACUGCAUGGCUUGAGUGCAGGAGAGGGAAGUGGAAUUCCUAGUGUAGCGGUGAAAUGCGUAGAUAUUAGGAGGAACACCAGUGGCGAAGGCGACUUCCUGGACUGUAACUGACGCUGAGGCGCGAAAGCGUGGGUAGCAAACGGGAUUGGAUACCCUGGUAGUCCACGCCGUAAACGAUGGGUACUAGGUGUGGGUAGUUCACACUAUCCGUGCCGCAGCAAACGCAAUAAGUACCCCGCCUGGGGAGUACGGCCGCAAGGUUGAA
rnacentral:rRNA from 1 species